GAACACCAGUGGCGAAGGCGUCUAUCUGGUUCAAAUCUGACGCUGAGGCGCGAAGGCGUGGGGAGCAAACAGGAUUAGGUACCCUGGUUGUCCACGCUGUAAACGAUGAAUGUUAAAUAUGGGAAGUUUACUUUCUGUAUUAUAGCUAACGCGUUAAACAUUCCGCCUGGGGACUACGGUCGCAAGAUUAAAACUCAAAGGAAUUGACGGGGACCCGCACAAGCGGUGGAGCAUGUGGUUUAAUUCGAUGCAACGCGAAAAACCUUACCACUCCUUGACAUGGAAAUUAUACCUAUUCGAAGGGAUAGGGUCGGUUCGGCCGGAUUUCACACAGGUGUUGCAUGGCUGUCGUCAGCUCGUGUCGUGAGAUGUUGGGUUAAGUCCCGCAACGAGCGCAACCCUCAUCCUUAGUUACCAUCAGGUAAUGCUGGGGACUUUAAGGAAACUGCCAGUGAUAAACUGGAGGAAGGUGGGGAUGAUGUCAAGUCAUCAUGGCCCUCAUGGAGUGGGCUACACACGUGCUACAAUGGUGGCUACAAUGGGCUGCAAAGUCGCGAGGCUAAGCUAAUCCCUUAAAAGCCAUCUCAGUUCGGAUUGUACUCUGCAACUCGAGUGCAUGAAGUUGGAAUCGCUAGUAAUCGUGGAUCAGCACGCCACGAUGAAUACGUUCUCGGGUCUUGUACACACUGCCCGUCACGCCAUGGGAAUUGGUUUCACUCGAAGCUAACGACCUAACCGCAAGGAGGGAGUUAUUUAAAGUGGGAUCGGUGACUGGGGUG
rnacentral:rRNA from 1 species